ACGCAAACAUAUUUUUUAUCCUUUAACUAUUUUGUAAAAAUAUGCUCUUUUAUUUUUUUUUUUUUUUUUUUAUUAAAUAUGUUUAUAUAACAUUUGUGUCUAUUAUUUUUGCAUCAUUUGAAUAAAAAAAAAAAAAUAAAAAUAAAUAAAUGUAGCAUUUAAAAAUUAAAAAAAAAAAGUUUUAAUUAUAAUAGCUUUAGUUUGGAAUAAACUAUUUUUUAUAUUCUAAAAAUGUUUUAAAAAAUAUAAUAUCUAUAUAAUUAUAUUUACAUUAUAACAUUUCAAUGUUAAAAGUGUGUUAACGAAUCAACUCAUUUUUAUGUUAAAGUAUUAUAUAUGCAAAAAAAUAAACAAAUAUAUGUAUAAGAGAAAUAAAAAUACGAUUAUGCAUUUGAUACAUUAGGUAAUUGAUAACGCGGUCUUCUGAGAGUGCACAUACAUAUAAUAUACACUUUCAUGUUCUUUCGCGAAUAUUCUGUUUAUUAGACAGGUGUUUAUAUAAUAGUAGCACACAAAACGUGAAUGUGAAAAAAAAAAAAAAAAAAAAAAAAAAAAAAUUAUUGAAUCUAUGAAAAAAAAAAAAAUACAUAUAAAAAAUAUUACAUAAGGGAUAAAAUUUUUUUCAAAAAAAAUAUAAAAUUAGUUAACAUAUAAACAAAAAUCGUUAGGAACUACAUAAAUUAUAAGAUAUUUGACGCCAUAAUAUCGAUAGAUUACAUAUUUGAUUUGAAACGUGUAAAAAUAUACAUUUUUUUUUACAGUAUCCAAUUGAAACUCGUCUUAUUUAAUAGAAAGUAUAAAGUUAUCUAUCUUUCAUAAUAAACAAAACAGAUAAAAAAAUACAGUGGAUCAACAUGGGAGAUGCGAAGCCAAUUAGAGAAGAAUGGUUGGAUGAUGACAUUAGCAAUUUUGUCAAUUUUGCACAUAAUGAUGAAGAUUCUCGCAUACUUUCGAAUGCUAGUAAUUAUGAAAAUGAGGAAUUAGAAAAUGCUAUGACGAUACCUCCCCUAGUUAACACAUAUGACCCAUUGUAUUUUUAUACAACGACAGACUAUGUUUUUAUAGUAAUAACAGCUUUUAUUUUCUUCAUUUGUUUGGUAUUGUUUUUUGACUAUGUUUAUCGAACUGUAAAUCCUAUUUAGAUUCGGACGAUUAUUUAUAAUCGUGUGCGACUGAAAAAAAGAGAGCACUUGAAGUAACACCUGUAUAUUAUAAACAUACAUUGUUCAUUUUAAAAAUAUAGAAGUAAAGCUAAGAAAUAAAUUAAAAAGAGAAAAGCUAAUUGGAAGAAAC
rnacentral:lncRNA from 1 species